rnacentral:rRNA from 1 species
GGAGCAUGUGGUUUAAUUCGAUGAUACGCGAGGAACCUUACCUGGGCCUUGAAAGUUAGUGACCGCUUCUUGAAAGGGAGCUUUCCGCAAGGACACGGAAACUAGGUGCUGCAUGGCUGUCGUCAGCUCGUGCCGUGAGGUGUCGGAUUAAGUUCCAUAACGAGCGCAACCCCUAUUUCUAGUUGCCAGCGAGUAAUGUCGGGGACUCUAGAGAAACUGCCCGCGUAAGCGGUGAGGAAGGUGGGGACGACGUCAAGUCAUCACGCCCCUUACGUCCAGGGCGACACACGUGCUACAAUGGUAGGGACAGUGAGUUGCAAGCCGGUAACGGUGAGCUAAUCUACAAACCCUAUCUCAGUUCGGAUCGAGGUCUGCAACCCGACCUCGUGAAGCUGGAAUCGCUAGUAAUCGCAUAUCAGCCAUGAUGCGGUGAAUACGUUCCCGGGCCUUGUACACACC